rnacentral:miRNA from 1 species
AUAGUUUCUCUUGUUCUGCAC